rnacentral:rRNA from 1 species
UGGGGAAUUUUUGGACAAUGGGCGAAAGCCUGAUCCAGCAAUGCCUCGUGUGUGAAGAAGGCCUUCGGGUUGUAAAGCACUUUUGUCCGGAAAGAAAUCCUUGGCUCUAAUACAGUCGGGGGAUGACGGUACCGGAAGAAUAAGCACCGGCUAACUACGUGCUAGCAGCCGCGGUAAUACGUAGGGUGCAAGCGUUAAUCGGAAUUACUGGGCGUAAAGCGUGCGCAGGCGGUUUGCUAAGACCGAUGUGAAAUCCCCGGGCUCAACCUGGGAACUGCAUUGGUGACUGGCAGGCUAGAGUAUGGCAGAGGGGGGUAGAAUUCCACGUGUAGCAGUGAAAUGCGUAGAGAUGUGGAGGAAUACCGAUGGCGAAGGCAGCCCCCCUGGGCCAAAUACUGACGCUCAUGCACGAAAGCGUGGGGAGCAAACAGGAUUAGAUACCCUGGUAGUCCACGCCCUAAACGAUGUCAACUAGUUGUUGGGGAUUCAUUUCCUUAGUAACGUAGCUAACGCGUGAAGUUGACCGCCUGGGGAGUACGGUCGCAAGAUUAAAACUCAAAUGAAUUGACGGGGUCAUAGCUGUUUCCU